rnacentral:rRNA from 1 species
UACGUAGGGUGCAAGCGUUGUCCGGAAUUAUUGGGCGUAAAGAGCUCGUAGGCGGUGUGUCGCGUCGGCCGUGAAAACCUGGGGCUCAACUCUGGGCGUGCGGUCGAUACGGGCAUCACUUGAGUUCGGCAGGGGAGACUGGAAUUCCUGGUGUAGCGGUGAAAUGCGCAGAUAUCAGGAGGAACACCGAUGGCGAAGGCAGGUCUCUGGGCAUUAACUGACGCUGAGGAGCGAAAGCAUGGGGAGCGAACAGGA